GAUGAACGCUGGCGGCGUGCCUAAUACAUGCAAGUCGAGCGAACGGACGAGAAGCUUGCUUCUCUGAUGUUAGCGGCGGACGGGUGAGUAACACGUGGAUAACCUACCUAUAAGACUGGGAUAACUUCGGGAAACCGGAGCUAAUACCGGAUAAUAUUUUGAACCGCAUGGUUCAAAAGUGAAAGACGGUCUUGCUGCCACUUAUAGAUGGAUCCGCGCUGCAUUAGCUAGUUGGUAAGGUAACGGCUUACCAAGGCAACGAUGCAUAGCCGACCUGAGAGAGUGAUCGGCCACACUGGAACUGAGACACGGUCCAGACUCCUACGGGAGGCAGCAGUAGGGAAUCUUCCGCAAUGGGCGAAAGCCUGACGGAGCAACGCCGCGUGAGUGAUGAAGGUCUUCGGAUCGUAAAACUCUGUUAUUAGGGAAGAACAUAUGUGUAAGUAACUGUGCACAUCUUGACGGUACCUAAUCAGAAAGCCACGGCUAACUACGUG
rnacentral:rRNA from 1 species